rnacentral:lncRNA from 1 species
CAGAGCCAUGUGUGCCUCCUCAGAGCCCAAAGAGGAGGUGACUCACCAGAGUCAUCUCAGGACCCAACAGACAGCCAGGUGGUGAUCUCUUAGUCCGCAAUCAAGGCAUGAUUCAACCUUCGGUUGCCAUUCUCCUCAGUAUUUCGAGACUUGCACCGUUCGAGAUCUUGCCAUCUAAAGACGGUUCCAGACACUCGACGAGAGGAUAGAUAAGA